rnacentral:rRNA from 1 species
GGGAACUGUGAGACAGGUGCUGCAUGGCUGUCGUCAGCUCGUGUUGUGAAAUGUUGGGUUAAGUCCCGCAACGAGCGCAACCCUUAUCCUUUGUUGCCAGCGGUUAGGCCGGGAACUCAAAGGAGACUGCCAGUGAUAAACUGGAGGAAGGUGGGGAUGACGUCAAGUCAUCAUGGCCCUUACGACCAGGGCUACACACGUGCUACAAUGGCGCAUACAAAGAGAAGCGACCUCGCGAGAGCAAGCGGACCUCAUAAAGUGCGUCGUAGUCCGGAUUGGAGUCUGCAACUCGACUCCAUGAAGUCGGAAUCGCUAGUAAUCGUAGAUCAGAAUGCUACGGUGAAUACGUUCCCGGGCCUUGUACACACCGCCCGUCACACCAUGGGAGUGGGUUGCAAAAGAAGUAGGUAGCUAACNUUCGGGAGGCGCUACCACUUUAUCNNNUGGG